rnacentral:tRNA from 2 species
CUAGAUAUAGUUUAAAAUAAAACAUCGGCUUUGGGAGCUAAAGACAUCCUCAUGGGUUUUCUAGA